CCUACGGGUGACAGCAGUGAGGAAUAUUGGUCAAUGGACGAGAGUCUGAACCAGCCAAGUAGCGUGAAGGAUGAAUGCCCUAUGGGUUGUAAACUUCUUUUAUAUGGGAAUAAAAUGUUCCACGUGUGGGAUUUUGUAUGUACCAUAUGAAUAAGGAUCGGCUAACUCCGUGCCAGCAGUCGCGGUAAUACGGCGGAUACGAUCGUUAUCCGGCUUUAUUGGUGUAAAAGGGUGCGCAGGCGGAAGAUCAAGUAAGCGGUAAAAUUGAGGGGCUCAACCUCUUCGAGCCGUUGAAACUGGGUUUCGUGAGUGAGCGAGAAGUAUGCGGAAUGCGUGGUGUAGCGGUGAAAUGCAUAGAUAUCACGCAGAACUCCGAUUGCGAAGGCAGCAUGCCGGCGCUCAACUGACGCUGAUGCACGAAAGUGUGGGUAUCGAACAGGAUUAGAUACCCCAGUAGUC
rnacentral:rRNA from 1 species